AACUGUUAGUGAUAACAACGGAUAUAUUAUAUUAAUAUUUUAAAUAAAAAACCAACACGGCAACACUAAAAACAAAUGAAAUAAAAGAAAAUUAUAUUCUAAGAUUCAUGAUACGGUACCUGAUCGCCUACAAUAUAUAAUAUUUCAAAACAUUGUAUCAAUGCAAUACACCAGUCAAAAUUAUGAACACCGUAUGAGAAAUCGUGAAUACAGAAUAGUUGUUGUGAAGUUCAGAUAGACCUACCGCAGUAAAAACUAUAGCAGUAACCAUGCAUAGACUUGCAAAUGUGAACUAAUUUUUUCAUUUGGGUUUCAAUCUGAAAAAAUAAAUAGUCAAAAGAGACAGCUGGAAAAUUCCAGCACAACAUCAAUAGCAGCAAAGCAGAUACAGAGGAAAUAAGACAUCUAGCAGCACCAAUCCACAGUGUACAUGAGCCAAAAAAA